CCCUUAGAUGUCCGGGGCCGCACGCGCGCUACACUGGAGGAAUCAGCGUGGCUUUCUCCCUGACCCGAAAGGGUUGGGAAACCCGUUGAAUCUCCUUCGUGAUAGGGAUUGGGGCUUGAAAUUGUUCCCCAUGAACGAGGAAUUCCCAGUAAGCGCGAGUCAUAAGCUCGCGUUGAUUACGUCCCUGCCCUUUGUACACACCGCCCGUCGCUACUACCGAUUGAGUGAUCCGGUGAAUAAUUCGGACUGCAGCAGUGUUCAGUUCCUGAACGUUGCAGCGGAAAGUUUAGUGAACCUUAUCACUUAGAGGAAGGAGAAGUCGUAACA
rnacentral:rRNA from 1 species